UUUUUAUUGAGUUUGAUGAUGGCUCUGAUUGAACGCUGUCCAAAGGCUUGACACAUGCUAAUCAUACAUUAUUUAAUAUAUUUAUCUAUUAAUAGGUAAUUUAUAAAAGUAAGGUGGUGUAAAGGUGAGUAUAUAUUAUUUUACUGCCUUAAAGUAAGGAUAAAAUACCUUAUAAAACAAAAAUAUACUAAUUUAUAGUUUUUUUGAUAGAAAGAAAAAUUAUUUCGCUUUAAGAUGUUUAUAAUGUAAUCAAGUUAGUAGUAGUUAAGGUCAUGACUUAACUAGCUAAUUCUUGUAGUCAUAACUGAGAGGUUUAUUGACCACAUUGGGUCUGAAAAAACCCCAAUAUGUACAGUACAGCAGUGAGGAAUAUUGGUCAAUGGCCUAACGGCCGAACCAGCAAUUUGGGGGAAUGUAAGUAUGUAUAUACAUAUUGACUAUGUCAAAUAAAGUUCUAAAUAGAAGACUGAUAAUGACAAAUUUCUAUUUAUGUGUCUCGACCAAUUCUUGUGCCAGCAGUCGCGGCAACACAAGUGAGACUAGUGUUAUUCAUCUUUAUUAGGUUUAAAGGGUACCUAGACAGUAUUUUAAGCCCCAAAAGGGUACAGACAUACUAGAGUUUUGUAGGAGAGGUAAAUAUUAGGACCAUUGGUGUAGAGAUGAAAUUCUUUGAUACUAAUGGGAUGUAUAAUGGCGAAGGCAAUCCUCUAUAGAUAAACUGACGUUAAGGGACGAAGGCUUGGGGAGCGAAUAGGAUUAGAUACCCUAGUAGUCCAGGCAGAAAAUUAUGAGUGUUAUAUACUAAAUAUAAAAUAAGUGUAUAAAUGAAAGUGUAAGCACUCCACCUCAAGAGUAGUGUGGCAACACAGGAACUGAAAUCAUUAGACCGUUUCUGAAACCAGUAGUGAAGUAUGUUAUUUAAUUCGAUAACCCUCGAAAAACCUUACCACAAUUUGAAUAGUUAAUUUAAAUUUAAUUAUACAUUAAAGCAUUUAAGUUUACUUAAAUGGAGUUAAUUUACAAGUGUUGCACGGCUGUCUUCAGUUAAUGUCGUGAGAUUUUGGUUAGAUCCAUUAAAUUAACGUAAACCCUUACUUUACUAUAAAAUAAAGUAGUUCUCCGCUAUAUUGGAAUAGAUAACAGGGACCAAGACAAGUCAUCAUGACCUUAAUAUUGUGGGCUAUAGACGUGCCACAUAUGUCUGUACAAAGAGAAGCAAAAAUGCAAUUAUUAGCUAUACUCUAAAACAGAAUAUAACAUGAAUUGUAGUCUGAAAUUCGACUGCAUGAAAAAGGAAUUACUAGUAAUCGUGUGUAACCAUAACACGGUGGAUUUAAUCUCAGAUAGGUACUAACCACUCGUCAGGCGCUGAAAGGAGUAUGUGCAAUAAGUUUGAUUUUUUUUAUAUUUUUUCUCUUGUUAACCAGAAUAAGAUAUUUUUUCAAAAAAUUUUCGUAUGCAUGAUUUUGAUUGGUGUUAAGUCGAAAUACGGUUCGUGUAGUGGAAAUUGCACGGGGUUAAUAAACAUA
rnacentral:rRNA from 1 species